AUUGUAGCUCAACAUAUACUACACUUCUAAGGACUGUAUGAAGUUUGUUAGGGUCUUAGCUUGUAACGGAUUAUGGUGCAUUUUUAACUUAUUAGUCUUUUUUAUCAACUACCAAAUCUAAUGUUAGAGAGUAGUGUCUGUUUAGAAUGGAUAGACGGAAUGAGUUGACAGUUUAUAGCUGGGUAUGGUCAUAAUUAUGGUCAGGAUUUUAGGAAAUGUGUAAGUAAUUGUCUAUAAAGGAGGCUGGUCAGUGGAAGACCCUAAAUCAAGAUGUUGAUUACCAGUUAAAGGGGCAACACGCUAAUAAAACCAAUGAUAUGGGACACACACAGACACACACACACACACACAC